rnacentral:rRNA from 1 species
AACGCAGCGAAGGGCGAUACGUAAUGUGAAUUGCAGAAUUCAGCGAACCAUCGAAUCUUUGAACGCACAUUGCGCCCGCCAGUAUUCUGGCGGGCAUGCCUGUCCGAGCGUCAUUUCCCCCCUCACGCGCCCCGUUGCGCGCUGGUGUUGGGGCCCCUCCGCCUGGCGGAGGGCCCCGAAAGCGAGUGGCGGGCCCGGCUGGCUGGCUCCGAGCGCAGUACCGAACGCAAGUUCUCCCCUCGCUCAGAAGCCCCGCCGGCGCCCUGCCGUCAAAACGCGCAUGACGUGCAACUUUUACAAGGUUGACCUCGGAUCAGGUAGGACUACCCGCUGAACUUAA